UACGAAAGGGGCUAGCGUUGUUCGGAAUUACUGGGCGUAAAGAGCGCGUAGGCGGGCUAGCAAGUUGGGGGUGAAAUCCCGGGGCUCAACCUCGGAACUGCCUCCAAAACUGCUAGCCUAGAGGAUGUGAGAGGAUAGUGGAAUUCCGAGUGUAGAGGUGAAAUUCGUAGAUAUUCGGAAGAACACCAGUGGCGAAGGCGACUGUCUGGCGCAUUUCUGACGCUGAGGUGCGAAAGCGUGGGGAGCAAACAGG
rnacentral:rRNA from 1 species